CUUGUACUCCCUCCGUCCGAAAAUACUUGUCAUUGAAAUGGAUGUAUCUAGAUGUAUUUUAGUUGUAGACACAUCCAUUUUGAUGACAAGUAAUUCCGGACAGAGGGAGUACUUG
rnacentral:pre_miRNA from 1 species